ensembl:lncRNA novel transcript, antisense to DDHD1
UUGCUUUUGUGUUUUUUAAUAAAAAAUAUUUCAACUUUUCAUUUAGAAACAGUGGGUAAAUGUGCAAGUUUGUUACAAGGGUAUAUUGUGUGAUGCUGAGGUUUGAGGUACAGAUCCCAUCACCCAGGUAGUGAGCAUAGUACCCAAUAGGUAGUUUUUCAACCUAUCCUUCUGCCCUCCUCACCCACAGUGUUCCAGUCUGCAGUGUCUGUUGUUCCCACCUUUGCAUCCUGAGGUACUCAAUAUUUAGCUCCCAUUUGUUAGAACAUGCAGUACUUGGUUUUCUGUUCUUAAUUUGCUUAGAUUAUGGCUUCCAGCUGCAUCCAACUGGGAAAAGAAAUCAAACUAGCUCUCUUCGCUGAUAUG